rnacentral:rRNA from 1 species
UACGAAGGGGGCUAGCGUUGCUCGGAAUCACUGGGCGUAAAGCGCACGUAGGCGGCUUUCUAAGUCAGGGGUGAAAUCCUGGAGCUCAACUCCAGAACUGCCUUUGAUACUGGAGAGCUCGAGUCCGGAAGAGGUGAGUGGAACUCCGAGUGUAGAGGUGAAAUUCGUAGAUAUUCGGAAGAACACCAGUGGCGAAGGCGGCUCACUGGUCCGGUACUGACGCUGAGGUGCGAAAGCGUGGGGAGCGAGUCCGG